rnacentral:rRNA from 1 species
UACGGGGGGAGCAAGCGUUGUUCGGAUUUACUGGGCGUAAAGGGCGCGUAGGCGGCCAGCACAAGUCAGUUGUGAAAUCUCCGAGCUUAACUCGGAAAGGUCAACUGAUACUGUGCGGCUAGAGUGCGGAAGGGGCAACUGGAAUUCUUGGUGUAGCGGUGAAAUGCGUAGAUAUCAGGAGGAACACCGGUGGCGAAGGCGGGUCUCUGGGCAACAACUGACGCUGAGGAGCGAAAGCGUGGGGAGCGAACAGG